rnacentral:rRNA from 1 species
GACGGAAGGUGCAAGCGUUGCUCGGAAUCACUGGGCGUAAAGGGCGCGUAGGCGGCUUUAUAAGUCGGGGGUGAAAGCCUGUGGCUCAACCACAGAAUUGCCUUCAAUACUGUAGAGCUUGAGACCGGAAGAGGUAAGUGGAACUGCGAGUGUAGAGGUGAAAUUCGUAGAUAUUCGCAAGAACACCAGUGGCGAAGGCGGCUUACUGGUCCGGUUCUGACGCUGAGGCGCGAAAGCGUGGGGAGCAAACAGG